UAUAUAAUCUCGCAAAUAGGUGCCUUGAGCGCUUUUCCUGUAAAGAAAAGUGCUCGGGUUAAAAGGGAAGCCCGGUGAAAGUCCGGCACGGUCCCGCCACUGUGAGCGCAGAGCCCGCUUCAAUCAAGCCACUGUGAGCCUUGGCUCAUGGGAAGGCGAAGCGAGGCGAGGAAGCGUAAGUCAGGAAACCUGCCUAUUUGCUGGAUUAAGU
rnacentral:ncRNA from 2 species